rnacentral:rRNA from 1 species
AAAGAGAAGCGAGACGGAGAGUUAAGCGAAACCCAAAAAAGUAAGUCUCAGUUCGGAUUGAAGGCUGAAAUUCGCCUUCAUGAAGCCGGAAUUGCUAGUAAUGGCAGGUCAGCAUACUGCCGUGAAUACGUUCCCGGGCCUUGUACACACCGCCCGUCACACCAUGAGAGUUGGGAAUACCCAAAGCCUGUGAGCUAACGUAAGAGGCAGCAGUCGAAGGUAGAAUCAAUGAUUGGGGUGAAGUCGUAACAAGGUAUC